AAGGCAGUGGGGUGCUCCCCAAGUGUGGAAGCAGCAUCCCUUGGAAAUGCUGCUGACAUUCUGGAGUGCGUUGGGAGAAGGAAGAGAAAAAAAAAUGGAGAACAGCACUUAUUUGAUAUCUGUUACGUGCCAGGAAGCAAAUUACAGCUUUAUCUUGUGUGACCUUCAUGCCUGUCCUUCAAGGAGGAAGAUCAUUUCACAGUUGCAAGGGAGGAAGCGGAGAUGUUAGGUGGCUCACCCAGUAACCCGCACGUGAGCAGCAGACAAAAGGGUGGUUCUGAGAAGCUUCAUGUCCACACAGCCUGCCCGGAGACAGUGCACAGGACCAACCAACCAAUCUGCCUUUCUGGCGAGGCUGAGACAAGUGAGUAAUAACACCCAUUUGUUGAUUUUCCUUCCUUCUCUGUUCAAUCAAUCAGCCCUCCUUCUAGCUGCUCAGAGAUUUUCACACACACAUACAUGUGUA